AGAGUUUGAUCCUGGCUCAGGAUGAACGCUAGCGGCAGGCCUAAUACAUGCAAGUCGAACGGUCAUAGUGAUAUGAUAGUGGCGCACGGGUGCGUAACACGUAUGGAACCUACCUUAUAGACGGGGAUAGCCUUUGGAAACGGAGAUUAAUACCCGAUGGUAUAUUUGAGGGGCAUCCUUUAGAUAUUAAAGAUUUAUCGCUAUAAGUUGGUCAUGCGUCCAAUUAGUUAGUUGGCGGGGUAAUGGCUCACCAAGACGAUGAUUGGUAGGGGAACUGAGAGGUUAAUCCCCCACACUGGCACUGAGAUACGGGCCAGACUCCUACGGGAGGCAGCAGUAGGGAAUAUUGGGCAAUGGAGGCAACUCUGACCCAGCCAUGCCGCGUGCAGGAAGAAGGCGUUAUGCGUUGUAAACUGCUUUUAUAUAGGAAGAAAUAGACCUUGCGAGGUAAGUUGACGGUACUAUAUGAAUAAGCACCGGCUAACUCCGUGCCAGCAGCCGCGGUAAUACGGAGGGUGCAAGCGUUGUCCGGAUUUAUUGGGUUUAAAGGGUGCGUAGGCGGUUUAUUAAGUCAGUGGUGAAAGACGGUCGCUCAACGAUUGCAGUGCCAUUGAUACUGGUAGACUUGAGUGAGAUUGAGGUAGCUGGAAUGGAUAGUGUAGCGGUGAAAUGCAUAGAUAUUAUCCAGAACACCAAUUGCGUAGGCAAGUUACUAAGUCUCAACUGACGCUGAGGCACGAAAGUGUGGGUAUCAAACAGGAUUAGAUACCCUGGUAGUCCACCACCUGUAAACGAUGAUAAACUAAACUGUUGGCUUUCGGGUCAGUGGUACCAGAGAAAUCGUUAAGUAUCCCC
rnacentral:rRNA from 1 species